GGGAAGGGAACCGCUUAUAAAAAAAAAAAAAAAAAGCCUUUGGGAGUUUGUAGCCCCGGCUUUUGUGAAUUGUCCCUCCCACUACCCCAUCCCCGGGAGCCCCCUUCAGAGUGAGUUAAACACCCCUCCCCCUCUGUGUAAUGAACGCCCUUUGCCACCCUGUGAGCGGAGGAGGCUGAUCUUGCUUCUGGCAACCCGCCUGCUCAGCGCUAGAAUUGGGCCUGUCCUUCACUGGCGGGUGCACAAAGGCCCGUGCCAGGCAGGAACCUCAGCCCCUGCUUUUCCAGUUCAUGAAAACUGAAAACUCCCGGAUGCUGCGGACUCUCCUUGUCAGGUCUGCACAAGUGGUGCCUUGAUAUGUCUAUUUCCGGUGGCCACUGGUUUAGAAAUCCACCCUCCCCUGCCUGCUGCCGCUGGCCUUUUCCUUCAUAGAAAACGGCUCUGUGCUGCUGUGGGUUGAGGACAAAGGAAACUGCAGCCUUUGGGAAGGAAGCCUCGGGCUCCUAAGUGUGCAGAGGACACUCUAUGCCUCCUUGGAGCCUCUGGAGAUGGUAGGGCUAAAAACCACAAAAAGGCUGGAGGUAGGGAGGGAAAAGCAGAGCCCCUCCUGUGAACAGCAUAGAAGUGUGCGUAGCUAUUUUCUGCUUUGUUUAUGCUGCUCCACACCCCCCCACCUCCCACCAGAGCUGAAAAGGGCAGAGGAGGGACCCUGCCGGGUGAAGGAGACUCCAGACCAGCUGUGUUCACCUCCUCCUUCAGUCUGGGGAUGCGAAUUAUCUGGCUUGCAAGCUGGGAGUCCAAGGGAGACAGAUGAGGAUGCAGUGAAGUGGAAGUUGAAAGCCUUGGAUUUGGUCUCAGCCCUGACACUGCAGAGGCCAUUGUGUCCCUUGCCUGGGCCCUGGAUUGCUCAGCUGCAAAACAACAGACUGAGAGAUGAAAACAAAUGUCUGCAGAGGAACAGGAAGGGUGGAAAGUCCCCGAGGCUGGUCCAGGAGAGAAACACACACAAACACAGGAAUAACUGUCGUAUUCCCAAGCAGGCCAGAGCAAGAAUGGCUUUGUGGAGGGUGGCUGAGGCCAGCUGUGCUGCUGGUGGAUCAACGUCAUGGUGCUGAAGCUUAGAAAGCAGAAUCCAUGGCGUUCCCACUCCAAGCCCCUCACUCUGCAGAUGAGGAAACUGAGCCUCCCCAAAGCCCACACCAAGUUCAACUAUUAAUGUGCAAGAGACCAUUCUCUGUGUACCAGUGUCUGUCUGGGUCCCAGUGCAGAGCACAGUUCACCCCCUCUAACACUGGCUGUUAUUGACCAGACGGACUCAAAGUCCAAUGUCAUGGUGGGGAGUUAAGUGGUCACAUGUGCCUGGAGAGAACCGUGGUCUAGAUUCUCUUUUCUGGACUGUGGUUCGGGCUCUAACCUAGAGAGCAGACAUGAUGGUCUGGACUUCUUCCAAUCUAGUGACCACCAAGUAGGGGGGAAGACCACUGUGGGGGGUCCAGUUCCUUGAGGUAGAGAGAGUCCCGCUAACCUCAGAGUCUUGAGGUGGUUGGCUUUGGCAGAAGCACGGUGUUCAUCCAGCCCUUGACCAAGCGUUACUGAACCUUAAUCUCGGCCUAGAGGGGACUUGGGAGUCUGUGUACCCUAAGGUGAGAAAGCAUCUAUGGGUGAGCCAAUGACAGCUGGGUAGGGGGAGAGGGCCUGUCCCAAAGCCCAUGUCCAGAGAUGAGAGCCUAGCUUGUGGGACUCCGUCUCAGGCAGGUGGGAUACCCACAAGGCCUUGUUGGUACCAGGUGCUUAGUAGUUCACUUUGAUUCCUCUGAGGAUAGAGACACAAACCAGGAGAUAGUGCUUCAUGAAGUGGCCAGCAGUGGGUGACCUGACGCUUGGUCUAAGUGAUGCUUGCUCUUCUAUUGGGCUUAUUUAGGAGAGAAACUGCAAAGAGAGCUAAUGAGAAAAAACAAACAAACAAACAAACCAACAACAACAAAAGAAAAAAACCCACAGAGGACCGAGAGAGCCUCCAUUUGGUAGAAAAGUAAACCAAGAGGAGUCCAGAGAAAGGAAAGGGAGAAGGGGAGGUAAGGG
ensembl:lncRNA